rnacentral:rRNA from 1 species
CGAAGGGGCUAGCGUUGUUCGGAAUUACUGGGCGUAAAGCGCACGUAGGCGGAUAUUUAAGUCAGGGGUGAAAUCCCAGAGCUCAACUCUGGAACUGCCUUUGAUACUGGGUAUCUUGAGUAUGGAAGAGGUAAGUGGAAUUGCGAGUGUAGAGGUGAAAUUCGUAGAUAUUCGCAGGAACACCAGUGGCGAAGGCGGCUUACUGGUCCAUAACUGACGCUGAGGUGCGAAAGCGUGGGGGAGCAAACAGGAUU